AGGCGAGCGUUAUCCGGAUUCACUGGGCGUAAAGCGCAUGUAGGCGGAUGUCUAAGUCGUGUGUUAAAGCCCCUGGCUCAACUGGGGGAGGUCUUGCGAGACUGGAUGACUUGAGGGCAACAGAGGCACGUGGAACUCCCGGUGUAGCGGUGGAAUGCGUAGAGAUCGGGAAGAACACCCGUGGCGAAGGCGGCGUGCUGGGUUGCAACUGACGCUGAGAUGCGAAAGUGUGGGGAGCAAACGGG
rnacentral:rRNA from 1 species